ACACAUGCAAGUUGAACGUGAUUUGCUGGGUGCUUGCACCGAGCAAUGAAAGUAGCGCACUGGUGAGUAACACGUGGGAACGUACCUUUUGGUGGGGAACAACAGUUGGAAACGACUGCUAAUACCGCAUAAGCCCUGAGGGGGAAAGAUUUAUCGCCGAAAGAACGGCCCGCGGAAGAUUAGGUAGUUGGUGGGGUAACGGCCUACCAAGCCGACGAUCUAUAGCUGGUCUGAGAGGACGAUCAGCCACAUUGGAACUGAGACACGGUCCAAACUCCUACGGGAGGCAGCAGUGAGGAAUAUUGGGCAAUGGAGGCAACUCUGACCCAGCCAUGCCGCGUGAGUGAAGAAGGUUUUCGGAUUGUAAAGCUCUUUCGGGUGUGACGAUGAUGACGGUAGCACCUAAAGAAGCCCCGGCUAACUUCGUGCCAGCAGCCGCGGUAAUACGAAGGGGGCAAGCGUCGUUCGGAAUUACUGGGCGUAAAGGGAGUGUAGGCGGUUAUGUAAGAUAGUGGUGAAAUCCCAGAGCUUAACUUUGGAAUUGCCAUUAUGACUAUGUGGCUAGAAUUACAGAGAGGAUAGUGGAAUACCCAGUGUAGAGGUGAAAUUCGUAGAUGUUGGGUAGAACACCAGUGGCGAAGGCGACUAUCUGGCUGUAUAUUGACGCUGAGGCUCGAA
rnacentral:rRNA from 1 species